rnacentral:rRNA from 1 species
GCACCCGCACAAGCGGUGGAGCAUGCCGUUUAAUUCGACGCUACGCGAAGAACCUUACCUAGACUUGACAUCCCCGGCAAAACUAUGGAAACAUAGUGGAGGUUAUCCGGGUGACAGGUGGUGCAUGGUUGUCGUCAGCUCGUGUCGUGAGAUGUUUGGUUAAGUCCAAUAACGAGCGCAACCCUCGUCUUUAGUUGCUAACAUUUAGUUGAGAACUCUAAAGAUACUGCCGGUGUAAACCGGAGGAAGGUGGGGAUGACGUCAAAUCAUCAUGCCCCUUACGUCUAGGGCUACAGGCGUGCUACAAUGGCCAGUACAACGAGUCGCAACAUAGUGAUAUGAAGCCAAUCUCUUAAAGCUGGUCCAAGUUCGGAUUGAAGUCUGCAACUCGACUUCAUGAAGCCGGAAUCGCUAGUAAUCCCAAAUCAGAAUGUUGGGGUGAAUACGUUCUCGGGUGUU